UAUUCUGCCCCAUGGGGAAGGAUGAGAAGCUUCGACUAAGGUUCGACUCGAGCGAAGCGAGAGAACGUUGC
rnacentral:sRNA from 1 species